GAAAAUAAAGCUCCUGUGAUGUAGAUCAUCACCGUACCAUUGAAUUUCCCUCACUCUUCCUAUAUUGAGAGAAAGAUGAAGGAGAAAAUCAUGGUAUCCACAUGGAUUGCUCAUGAAAUAGAAAAUUGAAUGCAUCAACAGCUUGCCUCAAGUAUGAGGACUUCAGAGAUCCUCAGAAACACAAGAAUGCUACAUUGAAUUAGGAGAUUUAGAUCCAAAAAGUUUGAGAUUAUACCUUUG
rnacentral:lncRNA from 1 species